rnacentral:rRNA from 1 species
UACGAAGGGGGCUAGCGUUGUUCGGAAUUACUGGGCGUAAAGCGCGCGUAGGCGGUUUUGCAAGCCAGAGGUGAAAUGCCUGAGCUCAACUUAGGAAUUGCCUUUGGGACUGUGAGACUUCGAGGACUGGAGAGGUGAGUGGAAUUCCCAGUGUAGAGGUGAAAUUCGUAGAUAUUGGGAAGAACACCGGUGGCGAAGGCGGCCCACUGGCCAGUUUUUGACGUUGUAGCGCGAAAGCGUGGGGAUCAAACAGG